rnacentral:rRNA from 1 species
AAAAGGUGGCUAUGCUACCGCUUUUGGAUGGGCCCGCGGCGCAUUAGCUAGUUGGUGGGGUAAAGGCUUACCAAGGCAAUGAUGCGUAGCCGAACUGAGAGGUUGAUCGGCCACAUUGGGACUGAGACACGGCCCAAACUCCUACGGGAGGCAGCAGUAGGGAAUCUUCCACAAUGGGCGAAAGCCUGAUGGAGCAACGCCGCAUGGGUGAAGAAGGUCUUCGGAUCGUAAAACCCUGUUGUUAGAGAAGAAAGUGCGUGAGAGUAACUGUUCACGUUUCGACGGUAUCUAACCAGAAAGCCACGGCUAACUACGUGCCAGCAGCCGCGGUAAUACGUAGGUGGCAAGCGUUAUCCGGAUUUAUUGGGCGUAAAGGGAACGCAGGCGGUCUUUUAAGUCUGAUGUGAAAGCCUUCGGCUUAACCGGAGUAGUGCAUUGGAAACUGGGAGACUUGAGUGCAGAAGAGGAGAGUGGAACUCCAUGUGUAGCGGUGAAAUGCGUAGAUAUAUGGAAGAACACCAGUGGCGAAAGCGGCUCUCUGGUCUGUAACUGACGCUGAGGUUCGAAAGCGUGGGUAGCAAACAGGAUUAGAUACCCUGGUAGUCCACGCCGUAAACGAUGAAUGCUAAGUGUUGGAGGGUUUCCGCCCUUCA